rnacentral:lncRNA from 1 species
UUGGCUUGUUUGUUGGGUCAAUCGAUCGGUAUAGGUAGUCAAAGAGAAGGCCAUUUGACUGAGAACCUUUCCAAAAAAGAAAAUAAAAUAAUAGGGCUUAUUUCACUCAAUCAAGUGAACAUAACAUGACACUGCACUAGGUCUCUAUGUCACACCAAUGUGAUUGUUGAUCUCUCCAUCUAGAUGAGACAAAAGAAGAAGCGGAGAGAACAAUUUUUGUGUGUUCAGAUCAUGCAUGGCAUACUGGUACAUGCAUGUUGAUUUGCAUACAACUACUCCUCAAGUGAACACAAUUCACCCUCUAUAUAUUUCGUGUAAUCUCUCCACCUUUGUAUCAUAUAUUGAACUAUUGGCAAAAGAGAAAAUAAUUAUAUAGAUAAAAAGAAGUGCAAAAAGUCCUCGGACGAAGGUAUGUCUGAGAUACUGGAGGUAACCAAUAGGUUAAUUCUUACAUUAUGCGCAAGAAGUGCCUUUCUCAUUGUGGUACUUAAUAAAGAAACGAUAUGGUAUUUGGGAACACAAACACCAUGAGUUUUGCACCAGAGCAACGACGAGGAGGAAAAGAUCUAAUGAAGAAACUAACAUGAAGAAAUUAACUAAGGAUGAUAGCGUGUUCAGUUCCUAGCAUUGCGUUGUUCUUUCCUUUUUCGAUUUGGUCUGUUCACGACGAUGUGAACAACUGAGGUCUAUUUUUUGCGGGGGAAAGAAGAUUGCAACAUCAUUCACACCCCUCUAAGCCAAAUGAUUGUGCUGGACACACUCUCGCUUUCAGCUUUCAUCAGCUCUUGAUUGUCUUAGAAGCGUAAAUUUGGGUACCACAAUGGGCCAUGCUUUUCUCCAAAGGAUCAUUGUGAAACUGAAAGAUAUGUCGCAUAAUAUGCUUACAAAAAAAUCAUAUUUGAUCCUUUUCGGCUCGUUAGAUCCAGAAAAGUUCAAGAAAAUAAAAUGAAACAAUCCUGGAUUAAAUGGAGACCUUUACAAAAAUACAAAAUAUAUAUUUGGAAACCUUAAAAUGUUCUGAAAAAGUUAUACAUGUUUGAUGUGUACUAUGUUAGAAGAAAAGGUUUGGGCUGGCAGCACGUCGGAUCCCAAAGAAGUCUGAGCGACUGUGAUUGUAGUGACUGCAGAGAAAGAAAAUAGCAAAACAAUUAUGAACUGUUGUAACCUUUUUGUCCUUUGAGGCCAUAAUAUUUGUCUUUUUAGCCUAUGUAUCCGAUGUAUUAUUUGAUAAAAAUAUGGGUAUGUAGAAAACUACAUGCAUGCAAUGGUAUUAAGUAGUAAAUAUACAUUAAUUUUUUUCAUUUUCUCCUCCACCUUGAUCAUGGUCCAUAACAUGCCUCUUUCAAUCAAAAUGUGCUUACAUGAAGUGCUAAGCACAUUAAAAAGUUUAGCAACUAAAGCCCUAGUGCGUUGAUGCUUAACUUGUUGUUGCUAAGCAUCCUUUAUUUAAUGAUUU